GGAUUCCCCUAGUAACGGCGAGUGAAGCGGGAAGAGCUCAAAUUUGAAAUCUAGUAGCCUUCGGCUGCUCGAGUUGUAAUCUAUAGAAGUGUUUUCCGUGCUGGCUCAUGUACAAGUCCCUUGGAACAGGGCGUCAUAGAGGGUGAGAAUCCCGUACUUGACAUGAAUCACCAGUGCUCUGUGAUACACUUUCAAAGAGUCGAGUUGUUUGGGAAUGCAGCUCAAAAUGGGUGGUAAAUUCCAUCUAAAGCUAAAUAUUGGCGAGAGACCGAUAGCGAACAAGUACCGUGAGGGAAAGAUGAAAAGCACUUUGGAAAGAGAGUUAAACAGUAUGUGAAAUUGUUAAAAGGGAAACGAUUGAAGUCAAUCAUGUCCUUGGGUCUUACCACCCUUGGAUGGGGUCAACAUCAGUUUUGAUCGGUGGAUAAGGAUAGGAGGAAGGUA
rnacentral:rRNA from 1 species